CGGCUGUUCCCACUUGGCCAUCUAACAAUAUGGCGGCUUUUGCGCCGUUUUUGACAAAUCCCAACGGUAUUUUAUAAUACGAAGCGAAUUAUUACAUUUUCACAUCAAAACCAUGACGAACCGAAUUUUUGUACUUGCUGACACGCGCGUCAGACGCGUUCUCGAUCGCCUCGAAAAUAUUGUGAGGAAAGAGAUUGAGAUGAGAACAAAGGAAACAAUCUGAAUUAUUUUGAGAGGAGAGAAAGCUAAAAGAGCUCGAUGGAAGGCCGAGAAUUUCAGAUAGGCCAGCAAACAAGAUGCAGAGAUACACUAACUUUACUGUGAGGAUUUCCUCUUCCUGCUGACUGGACGGAGCGACUCGUGUUGUGGGAGAGUUGCAAUCAAAUGCGUCUGUGCAACAGACUUGAGGCGCUCCAAGGGAUUGCGGAUGGCCUCGUGGUGUCUCCUUAGCUCGUUGAAGCGGGCGUGAAUGCUCUCACUCCCUUGCUCUGCGAGGAGACCAAGACCAACGCCUCGCCGUCGGAUGGACGGCACGACAUGCACCUCCAACAUGUGCAAUUUCGGCGUGAUGUGGCCGAGCUUUUUGCUGACGACGAUAUCUCGGCAUGCAGUCAUAAAUGUCUCCACCAAGCCUUCUAGCUUGGAUAUGGUGGCCUCGUCCACAGGCCUGCAGUGGCUGAAGAGGGCAGUGCACUCGCCAUACAGGGACAUCAGGUGCUGGUAAUCCUCAUGAAUUCGAUUUGCCUCUGGGAGCAGCAGAGCAGCAGCGGCGCACGAGAAGCUACUGCAGAUAAAUGUGCUGGGGUUAUUUCAGUUGUCACUGCUGGCUGAAGAGCUAUGUGCACAUGGUUGCCCACAAAAGCACCUCCAUGGUAUGCUUGCCUAUCGAUUCCAUUGCGCUGGAAAACUGGCUCGAUGCUUGCUCAACAUGGCCCCUCAGACUUUUUGUUCUGUUUUAUUGCGGCCAUUUGGUCGGUGAGUGACUGUCUCCACGCAAGCAAUACAGUACGGCGUGCAUCACCAUUCUUCCACUGGUCUUGUAGGUGUUGUGUCACGCUCUCCACUGUGGCAGCAGGUAUCAAGCUGAGAAAAGAGAACAGUGUACUGGACUUGCUGCUGCACUACAUGUAGUUGUUGGGUAACUGCAGAAAUCUCCUCAUCCGUUUUGCUGGCUUCAUGCAGUGACGAAAGCUUUUCAAAGCUGCCAGCAUCACCAGCUACUGCUGUAGCAGCAAUGGCUGCAAGGAUGACAGUGGCAGCAGGAACGCCUGCAGGAGCGACAGUGGCUGCAGGAGCAGCUGCAGGGACGGCAGUGGCAGCAGGAACGGCUGCAAGGACGGCUGCAGGGACGGCUGCAGGGACGGCAGCAGGAACGACUGCAGGGACGGCUGCAGGGAUGGCAGUGGCAGCAGGAACGGCGGCAGUGGCAGCAGGAACGACGGCAGUGGCAGCAGAAACAGCGGCGGUGUCUGCUGUAGUAGCAACGGCGGCAGGAACGGCGGUGUCUGCAGCAGCUGUUCUUCUGGCAAGCUCAAUGUCGAGGGCUUUGAGCUCAGCCUGAAAAGCAGUCAGCAUCCAUGGGAAAAUACCCAGAUCCAGAUGAAGAGCCGGGAUUACAACAUUCUCCUCGGGAAUAGAUCUCUGACCUCGUCACGAUAGACUCCUAGCGCGGUUUCAAGGUUCGAUGGCGUGUCUUGUGCCUCGAAGAUGCAAAUCGGGAUAGUGUUGAGGAGUGAAUUCGGCCGCUGCACAUUCACGAUCU